rnacentral:tRNA from 1 species
GGGCGAGUGGCGGAACUUGGUAUACGCGCAGCGCUUAGGACGCUGUUCCCAAAAGGAUUGAGAGUUCAAAUCUCUCCUCGCCCA